rnacentral:rRNA from 1 species
UACGUAGGGCGCAAGCGUUGUCCGGAAUUAUUGGGCGUAAAGAGCUUGUAGGCGGUUUGUCGCGUCUGCUGUGAAAUCUCAAGGCUCAACCUUGAGCUUGCGGUGGGUACGGGCAGACCAGAGUGUGGUAGGGGAGACUGGAAUUCCUGGUGUAGCGGUGAAAUGCGCAGAUAUCAGGAGGAACACCGAUGGCGAAGGCAGGUCUCUGGGCAUUACUGACGCUGAGAGCGAAAGCAUGGGGAGCGAACAGG